rnacentral:rRNA from 1 species
GGGCCCGCACAAGCAGUGGAGUAUGUGGUUUAAUUCGACGCAACGCGAAGAACCUUACCAGGGCUUGACAUCCCUUGAACGCUGUAGAGAUACAGUUUCUCUUCGGAGCAAGGAGACAGGUGGUGCAUGGUUGUCGUCAGCUCGUGUCGUGAGAUGUUGGGUUAAGUCCCGCAACGAGCGCAACCCCUGUUGUUAGUUGCCAUCAUUAAGUUGGGCACUCUAGCGAGACUGCCGGUGACAAAUCGGAGGAAGGUGGGGACGACGUCAAAUCAUCAUGCCCCUUAUGUCCUGGGCUACACACGUACUACAAUGGCUGUUACAGAGGGAAGCAAGUCCGCGAGGAGGAGCAAACCCCCAAAGGCAGCCUCAGUUCGGAUUGCAGGCUGAAACUCGCCUGCAUGAAGUCGGAAUUGCUAGUAAUGGCAGGUCAGCAUACUGCCGUGAAUACGUUCCCGGGCCUU